AAAAGGUCUAAAGAAAUCCGUGAUUUUACUUGCAGGUAUGACUGAUUAAUGGAACUAUUUUACUUUUAUAUAGAAUAUGGAUGGCACUCCAGUACAGCAUGUGCAUGGUUGGACCUGUUGACAUUUUUAGAAACGCACCUUGGUCUAUUAUACAGAGUAUUGUUGUACUGCUCCAAUGUGCUUGUUGACAGACUGAAACCACUUGCUUGCAGCUCAUAAGGUUUACUUCUUGAGAGCAGGCAGCUAUAAAAUGGAAGGUCAACAAAACCAGUAUACUUGAAAAGCAAGAAGGAAACACCAGAAAAUAUGAAAAGACAGAAGAACAAGGGAACUUGAAUAAAAAAAAACUUUUAAAGAUAGGAAUUCAGGAUUUACUUGGAAACUAAAUUUAUUUUGAGAACAGCAGUGAUUGACUAAGGUCUGUUACUUUAAGAGAUAAAGAACUAUUAUCACAUUGGUUUUGUUAUGCUCAUAAAACAUACUAAAGUUUCAUUAAUCUUAUUUUAGAUAAUUGUUUUCUGGUUUAUUUUGUAAAGGUUGUCUACUGAUUAACAUAGUUAUACCGUAUAAGUACUUAUUUCUGCGGGCUUAAUAUUCUGCGAUUUUUUCAAAAAUGAGGUGGUAUUAAAUUUCUGCGUACUUUAUUUCUGCGGUGUCUUCCUUCUCACGUUGACUGGAUUUAUUUCUGCGGUUCUGUAUUCACCGGUUGUAGCAUUAAUUUCAAAUGGACAGGUACGUAUUUUGUUGUUAUUUUGACAGUUAUGCUGGCUUCGGGAUUGAAAAUAAAAGUUGACGAAUACUAAUGUGACAUCGUCACCAUCACAUAAUGUUAAGUGUUUAAAAAAAACGAAAGAAAAACAGUCAUUAUAAAUACAGUCAUGCCAAACAGACAAGAAAAAUGCUUGAAUCUAUAUUUUGCAAACUUGCAAACAUUCUCAUCCGUGCAUUGUAACGGCCGGUAUGAUAUUUUUUGUUAAUCACGCCUUUUUCAAGUCCUUUACAAAUACGGAUUGUUUUACAAUAAACACAAAGGAUACAACGGAUUGUGUUUGUCACAUAAUUUAAGAAAAUUGAAACUGGCAGCUGACUGCUCAAUAGUAAAUGAAAAUCACAACAAAUUUGAUGUUUUUAUUAUGUUUAUUCAACAGCAAAACAAUAGCAAAACAGUUCUAUUAUAUUACCGUUGCUACUAAAUUUUUUAAACUUGCUUCGUCGGCCUUCCGCUACAUGUGGGACAAAAGCCAAUAACGCUAACGGACAUUGUCUUAUACUUAACCGAUUAUAAUGGCGGCUUGUAUCAUCUUAUCACGGCAUGUCAGGACAAAACUUUCUGCGGAUUUUAAAUCUGCGGUCUUGUUGUCUUCGGCAGAAAACGCAGAAAUAAAGUUCCCGUUGAAAAAAGUACUUAUACGGUAUUUAAGCAGGGGUCGCGCUGUCGGUCGCCAAUGGCGCCAAAUGCGCCGAUUUACAAAUUCUGGCGCUAGUUUAGAUCAGUUGGCGAAAGUUUCUGGCGACAACAAAGCAAAGAUCGGGCCGAGACAAUUUUUUUUUUACUGACACCAAGGAUCAUCCUACAUAGUCACUGUGUAGUCAAUUAUCGCCUGCGGGCUUAAUCCGAAUCGCCGAGAUGUAAUCUGUUUGUUUAAUCAAUUAAAGUUGUAAAACAGAUGUCAGUUAUCGAUAUAUCCUUGGUUAACUCCGCCUACUCGCCUGUCAAACUUAAACCAAUCGUAGCGUCGUUUAUAAAUAUCGUA